rnacentral:rRNA from 1 species
UACGGGGGGGGCAAGCGUUGUUCGGAAUUACUGGGCGUAAAGGGUUCGUAGGUGGCUGGCUAAGUCAGACGUGAAAUCCCGCGGCUCAACCGCGGGGCUGCCUCCUAGACUGCCGGGCUCGAGCACAGUAGAGGCAGGUGGAAUUCCCGGUGUAGCGGUGGAAUGCGUAGAGAUCGGGAAGAACAUCGGUGGCGAAGGCGGCCUGCUGGGCUGUUGCUGACGCUGAGGCGCGACAGCGUGGGGAGCAAACAGG